UACAGAGGGUGCAAGCGUUGUUCGGAUUUACUGGGCGUAAAGGGCGCGUAGGCGGCAUAUUAAGUCAGCUGUGAAAUCUCCGAGCUUAACUCGGAACUGUCAGCUGAUACUGAUGUGCUAGAGUGCAGAAAGGGCAAUCGGAAUUCUUGGUGUAGCGGUGAAAUGCGUAGAUAUCAAGAGGAACACCUGAGGCGAAGGCGGGUUGCUAGGCUGACACUGACGCUGAGUGCGCGAAAGCCAGGGGAGCAAACGGG
rnacentral:rRNA from 1 species